CAGUAGCCGCGGUAAUACGGAGGGAGCUAGCGUUGUUCGGAAUCACUGGGCGUAAAGCGCAUGUAGGCGGCUAUUCAAGUCAGGGGUGAAAGCCCGGGGCUCAACCCCGGAACUGCCUUUGAAACUAGAUAGCUUGAAUCUUGGAGAGGCGAGUGGAAUUCCGAGUGUAGAGGUGAAAUUCGUAGAUAUUCGGAAGAACACCAGUGGCGAAGGCGACUCUCUGGUCUGUAACUGACGCUGAGGAGCGAAAGCGUGGGGAGCGAACAGGAUUAGAUACCCGCGUAGUCCCUGUCUCUUAUAC
rnacentral:rRNA from 1 species